UGGGAAAGGUGCUGCACAAAAAUUAAUUUUCCUCUCUUUGGUUCCAUUUUAAAAUCAUUUGGGUAACAGAAGAAGUUCCCUGGACUGAGGAGUGACUCAUGCAGCUUGAUGUACAGAAGGGAAAGGAAAUGAGUACUUCGUUCGCAGAUAAUCAAACAUAUGAGAGGGAAGGGAGACAAAGCAUUGCUUCAAGAUCACAGAUUUUGAACCUGAUGCAAAAGUUGGCGAGAAAUGACAAGGAAUAAGAAACCAGACUCAAAAAGAUUUGGACCGGACAAGUAUGAGGCCUCCACAAAGCUUUCUGAUGUGAGAAAAGGUCACAUUCUUCCAGCUUUGAAGAAGCAUGGUGAAUCCUCUUGUCAGACACCUACAUAAUACCUUGCAAGUCCACUGGGGCCCAGAGAGUGAAGAAAACCUGCAGGUGAGGUCUCAGCCAACUCUUCAAGGACUACCAGGAGCCCCUGAUCCACUGCUUGGGAGCUUUGCCAACAGAAGCUGGUGUUUCAUUGACUUCAAUAGAGGUAUUUCUGAGCUGAAUCACUCCCACAGUCAGUAAUUUUAUGCCACCAGAGGAGAGUUGAGUGGGAAUUUCCUUGUUUUUGAAUGCAAUGUCA